rnacentral:rRNA from 1 species
UCAUAUGCUUGUCUCAAAGAUUAAGCCAUGCAUGUCUAAGUAUAAGCAAUUAUACCGCGAAACUGCGAAUGGCUCAUUAUAUAAGUUAUCGUUUACUUGAUAGCACAUUACUACUUGGAUAACCGUGGUAAUUCUAGAGCUAAUACAUGCUAAAAAUCCCGACUUCGGAAGGGAUGUAUUUAUUAGAUUAAAAACCAAUGCCCUUUGGGCUUGCUGGUGAUUCAUAAUAACUUCUCGAAUCGCAUGGCCUUGCGCCGGCGAUGGUUCAUUCAAAUCUCUUCCCUAUCAACUUUCGAUGCGAAGGUCUUGUCUUCGCAUGGUUACAACGGGUAACGGAGGGUUAGGGCUCGACCCCGGAGAAGGAGCCUGAGAAACGGCUACUACAUCCAAGGAAGGCAGCAGGCGCGCAAAUUACCCAAUCCCGACACGGGGAGGUAGUGACAAUAAAUACUGAUACAGGGCUCUUUUGGGUCUUGUAAUUGGAAUGAGUACAAUUUAAAUCUCUUAACGAGGAACAAUUGGAGGGCAAGUCUGGUGCCAGCAGCCGCGGUAAUUCCAGCUCCAAUAGCGUAUAUUAAAGUUGUUGUGGUUAAAAAGCUCGUAGUUGAACCUUGGGCCUGGCUGGCCGGUCCCCCUCACCGGGUGCACUGAUCCAGCCGGGUCUUUCCCUCUAUGGAACCCCAUGGCCUUCACUGGUCGUGGUGGGGAAAUAGGACUUUUACUUUGAAAAAAUUAGAGUGCUCCAGGCAGGCCUAUGCUCGAAUACAUUAGCAUGGAAUAAUGGAAUAGGACGUGUGGUUCUAUUUGUUGGUUUUAGGACCGCCGUAAUGAUUAAUAGGGACAGUUCGGGGGCAUCAGUAUUCAAUUGUCAGAGGUGAAAUUCUUGGAUCUAUUGAAGACUAACUACUGCGAAAGCAUUUGCCAAGGAUGUUUUCAUUGAUAAGGAACGAAAGUUAGGGGAUCGAAGACGAUCAGAUACCGUCGUAGUCUUAACUAUAAACUAUGCCGACUAGGGAUCGGACGAUGUUGUUUAUUGACUCGUCGGCACCUUCCGAGAAAUCAAAGUG